rnacentral:rRNA from 1 species
GACGAACGCUGCCGCGGUCUUAACACAUUCCAGGCGGACCGAAAGGCCCUGCUUUUUGUGGGUUCCCGAGGUGCGAACCGGUUAAUUACACCGUAGUUACCCUCCCUUUACUUUUGGGUUACUUCAAGGAAACGGGGCCAAUAACCGAUAAGAGCUCCUGCUGCAUUGGUGGGGUUGGGAAGGUUUCGGCGGUUGGGGAUGGAUUCGCGGCUUACCAGCUUGUUGGUGGGGUAGUGGCUUACCAAGGCUUUGACGGGUAGCCGGCUUGAGAGGGUGACCGGCCACAUUGGGACUGAGAUACGGCCCAGACUCCUACGGGAGGCAGCAGUGGGGAAUAUUGCACAAUGGGCGGAAGCCUGAUGCAGCAACGCCGCGUGCGGGAUGACGGCCUUCGGGUUGUAAACCGCUUUCGCCUGUGACGAAGCGUGAGUGACGGUAAUGGGUAAAGAAGCACCGGCUAACUACGUG